rnacentral:misc_RNA from 1 species
UUUCCGUAGGUGAACCUGCGGAAGGAUCAUUAGAGAAUCAACGGAGGGGGAGUUUUCGGACUCCCUUUUCCUACCCACACACCUGUGCACCGUUCCGUCCUUCUCCCCUUCGCGGGGGAGUUGGGCGUGUCUUUUUGAAAAAUCUCUUCAGUAGUCUUUGUAUAAGUUGGAUAAAUUAAAUUAAGGAAAACUUUCAACAACGGAUCUCUUGGCUCUCGCAUCGAUGAAGAACGCAGC